AUGCCUUCAGCACAGCUGAAACUGGAGAGUAAGCUGCAUGUAGGGUUUUUGUAUGAGCCUAUAUCACAGUGUUGGGUGUUCGGUGGAGGCACCAAAGUGACUGUCCUAGGUCAGCCCAAUGCGGCACCUUCAGUCACCCUGUUUCCACCUUCCUCUGAGGAGCUCAAGACUAACCAGGCCACACUGGUGUGUAUGAUCAGUGGCUUUUAUCCAGCUGAUGUGACAGUGGCUUGGGAGGCAGAUGGUACCCCUAUCACCCAGGGCGUGAAGACCACUCAGCCUUCCAAAAGUGACAACAAGUACAUGGCUACCAGCUACCUGACCAUGACAGCAGGAGCAUGGAAAUCUAAAAACACUUUCAUCUGCAAGGUCACUCAUGGAGAGAACACUGUGGAGAAGAGUUUGUCCCCUUCAGCAUGUUCCUAG